CGGAACGGGUGAGUAAUGCGUGACCAACCUGCCCCAUGCUCCAGAAUAGCUCUUGGAAACGGGUGGUAAUGCUGGAUGCUCCAACUUGACGCAUGUCUUGUUGGGAAAGUGUUUAGUGGCAUGGGAUGGGGUCGCGUCCUAUCAGCUUGUAGGCGGGGUAAUGGCCCACCUAGGCUUCGACGGGUAGCCGGCCUGAGAGGGCGGACGGCCACAUUGGGACUGAGACACGGUCCAGACUCCUACGGGAGGCAGCAGUG
rnacentral:rRNA from 1 species